UCUAGGUAAAUCUUUGAAACUUCAAUUUUUCAGCUUUCAUUACUCUUUGGUGGAAGAAAAAGGUUAAUGACAUUUUAUGAUGUGAAUAAUGCUAAUUAAUUUUCUUUUUGGGUGUCAUUUAUUGAUUUCUUGGGUUUCUUGUGUUUUAUCAAAGUGGAGAUAGCCUGGUGGCAGAAGAGUAGGGAGGGGGGAUUGUUCUAGCUUCUAGGUGUAUGUUUGGUACAACGUAAUUGAAUGUGAUGUGAUGAAAUGAAUUUUUAAUUUUUUCCUUUGAAAUUUUAAUUUCUAUCCCUUUUGCUCUUGUCCCUUUUUGUUUUGACAAAAUAAAAAGCCCUUGUGGUCUUUUUAAUUCUUAAUCGCAUGGAAGUAUGAUUUCUUCAAAUUUUGUUUUAUUUUUUUGAGAAUUCUAUGUUAUCUGUUUGUUGAUUUACCCUUCUUUGAUUAGUGUAGCGUGAUUUAUUGAUGUAUACUUAUUAUAUUGUAUGGUAUGAUUGUUAUUGUUAAUAUAUUUGGAAAGAUGGAAUGACAUGGUAUGGUUGUUAUUGCUAACAUGGUGG
rnacentral:misc_RNA from 1 species